rnacentral:rRNA from 209 species
UCCGACCUCAGAUCGGACGAGAUUACCCGCUG